UACGAAGGGGGCUAGCGUUGCUCGGAAUCACUGGGCGUAAAGGGCGCGUAGGCGGCGCGACAAGUCAGGCGUGAAAGCCCCGGGCUCAACCCGGGAAUUGCGCUUGAUACUGUCGUGCUUGAGGCCGGGAGAGGAUGGCGGAAUUCCCAGUGUAGAGGUGAAAUUCGAUAGAUAUUGGGAAGAACACCGGUGGCGAAGGCGGCUCACUGGCCCGUAACUGACGCUCAUGCACGACAGCGUGGGGAUCAAACAGG
rnacentral:rRNA from 1 species